UAGUGGCCUAGUGGUUCAGACUUCCGCCUGGCAACCCAGAUGUGCGGGUUCAAACCCC
rnacentral:tRNA from 1 species